rnacentral:rRNA from 1 species
CGACCUACGGGAGGCAGCAGUGGGGGAUAUUGCACAAUGGGGGGAACCCUGAUGCAGCGACGCCGCGCGAACGAAGAAAUAUUUCGGUAUGUAAAGUUCUAUCAGCAGGGAAGAAAAUGACAGUACCUGACCAAGAAGCCCCGGCUAACUACGUGCCAGCAGCCGCGGUAAUACGUAGGGGGCGAGCGUUAUCCGGAUUUACUGGGUGUAAAGGGAGCGUAGGCGGCCCUGUAAGUCUGAUGUGAAAAUUUGGGGCUCAACCCCAAACGUGCAUUGGAAACUGCAGGGCUUGAGUGCCGGAGAGG